CUGAGUACGGCGGAACACGUGAAAUUCCGUCGGAAUCCGGGAGGACCAUCUCCCAAGGCUAAAUACUCCCUAGUGACCGAUAGUGAACCAGUACCGUGAGGGAAAGGUGAAAAGCACCCCGGAAGGGGAGUGAAACAGUUCCUGAAACCGUGUGCCUACAAGUAGUUAGAGCCCGUUAAUGGGUGAUAGCGUGCCUUUUGUAGAAUGAACCGGCGAGUUACGAUUUGUUGCAAGGUUAAGCGGAAAAAGCGGAGCCGUAGCGAAAGCGAGUCUGAAUAGGGCGCAUAAGUAACAGGUCGUAGACCCGAAACCAGGUGAUCUACCCAUGUCCAGGAUGAAGGUAAGGUAAUACUUACUGGAGGUCCGAACCCACGCACGUUGAAAAGUGCGGGGAUGAGGUGUGGGUAGCGGAGAAAUUCCAAUCGAACUUGGAGAUAGCUGGUUCUCUCCGAAAUAGCUUUAGGGCUAGCCUCGAGGUAAAGAGUCAUGGAGGUAGAGCACUGUUUGGACUAGGGGCCCUUCUCGGGUUACCGAAUUCAGAUAAACUCCGAAUGCCAUGUACUUAUACUCGGGAGUCAGACUGCGAGUGAUAAGAUCCGUAGUCGAAAGGGAAACAGCCCAGACCACCAGUUAAGGUCCCCAAAUAUAUGUUAAGUGGAAAAGGAUGUGGGGUUGCUUAGACAACCAGGAUGUUGGCUUAGAAGCAGCCACCAUUGAAAGAGUGCGUAAUAGCUCACUGGUCGAGUGACCCCGCGCCGAAAAUGUACCGGGGCUAAACAUAUUACCGAAACUGUGGAUGAACCUCUUUAGAGGUUCGUGGUAGGAGAGCGUUCUAAGGGCGGUGAAGUCAGACCGGAAGGACUGGUGGAGCGCUUAGAAGUGAGAAUGCCGGUAUGAGUAGCGAAAGAAGGGUGAGAAUCCCUUCCACCGAAUAUCUAAGGUUUCCUGAGGAAGGCUCGUCCGCUCAGGGUUAGUCGGGACCUAAGCCGAGGCCGAUAGGCGUAGGCGAUGGACAACAGGUAGAGAUUCCUGUACCAGUGCUAAUUGUUUAACCGAUGGGGUGACACAGAAGGAUAGGGAAUCGCACGAAUGGAAAUGUGCGUCCAAGCAGUGAGUGUGAGAAGUAGGCAAAUCCGCUUC
rnacentral:rRNA from 1 species